GAUGAACGCUGGCGGCGUGCUUAACACAUGCAAGUCGAACGGAAAGGCCCAAGCUUGCUUGGGUACUCGAGUGGCGAACGGGUGAGUAACACGUGGGUGAUCUGCCCUGCACUUCGGGAUAAGCCUGGGAAACUGGGUCUAAUACCGGAUAGGACCACUUCUUGGAUGUUGUGGUGGAAAGUUUUUUCGGUGUGGGAUGAGCUCGCGGCCUAUCAGCUUGUUGUUGGGGUAAUGGCCUACCAAGGCGUCGACGGGUAGCCGGCCUGGGAGGGGGUACGGCCACAUUGGGACUGAGAUACGGCCCAGACUCCUACGGGAGGCAGCAGUGGGGAAUAUUGCACAAUGGGCGCAAGCCUGAUGCAGCGACGCCGCGUGGGGGAUGACGGCCUUCGGGUUGUAAACUCCUUUCGCUAGGGACGAAGCGUUUUGUGACGGUACCUGGAGAAGAAGCACCGGCUAACUACGUG
rnacentral:rRNA from 1 species